rnacentral:rRNA from 1 species
CAAUAGCGUAUAUUAAAGUUGUUGCAGUUAAAAAGCUCGUAGUUGGAUUUCUGGUUGAAGCGACCGGUCGGGCGUUGAUUCGUCUGCACUGGAGUCGGUUUUGGCCAUCCUCUAGGAAAGUGCGUCUGGUAUUAAGUUAUCGGGCGUAUGAUCCUGGUCUUUUACUGUGAAAAAAUUAGAGUGUUUAAAGCAGGCCUUCGCCUUGAAUACAUUAGCAUGGAAUAAUAAGAUAGGACUUUGGUCUAUUUUGUUGGUUUGCAGACCGAAGUAAUGAUUAAUAGGGAUAGUUGGGGGUACCUGUAUUGCGUUGUCAGAGGUGAAAUUCUUGGAUUUACGCAAGACAAACAGCUGCGAAAGCGUCUGCCAAGGAUGUUUUCAUUAA